rnacentral:rRNA from 1 species
AACGAACGCUGGCGGCAUGCCUAACACAUGCAAGUCGAACGAGACCUUCGGGUCUAGUGGCGCACGGGUGCGUAACGCGUGGGAACCUGCCCUUAGGUUCGGAAUAACUCCCCGAAAGGGGUGCUAAUACCGGAUAAUGUCUUCGGACCAAAGAUUUAUCGCCUUUGGAUGGGCCCGCGUUGGAUUAGCUAGUUGGUAGGGUAAAAGCCUACCAAGGCGACGAUCCAUAGCUGGUCUGAGAGGAUGAUCAGCCACACUGGGACUGAGACACGGCCCAGACCCCUACGGGAGGCAGCAGUGGGGAAAAUUGGAAAAGGGGCGAAAGCCUGAUCCCGAAAGGCCGGGUGGGUGAUGAAGGCCUUAGGGUUGUAAAGCUCUUUUACCCGGGAUGAUAAUGACAGUACCGGGAGAAAAAGCCCCGGUUAACCCCGG